rnacentral:sRNA from 1 species
UACCUGCGGUCGGGAGGCGGUCGCGGAC